UGAUUUGAGCCAUUAGAUUAAAUCUACGGCUGAGAAAAGAGGAAUUGCACGGGAUAUGGAUCCUUAUUUUUCCUUCUCUUUCUCUCUCUUCUUUUCCCCCCCGUCUCUUUCACCUAAGUUUACCAAGCUACUGUGCUAACAAAGAAAAAGAAGCCACAGCCGUCACACCAUCAGUUCGAGCCUCCCUUCAGAUUUAUUAGUUUUUCUCCAUCCUUUCGCGAAACCGACGUUGCAAAUCUCUUCUUGACCUGCGAUUUGCAAAACCCAAGAGUUCGAUAUCCAUUUUUCAGAGACACGCGUUGCCAUGCGCGGUGGCUGUCGACCCACGUGCCGUCACAGAUUUCCCGUCGACUGGUGGUUCUCGAAACCAACGCCGCAGAUUUCUUCUUCGGCCUCCGAUGUGUAAAAUCCAAGAAGUCGGCGUCCAUCUUCAGCCUCACGCGCCUCCACGCGCGGCCUGAAGUUUUGCCGUCAACCCACACUCCAGCCAUUGAAGAUCACCGUUGGCUGUGUUGCUCCGAUUCCGAAGAACCCAUGCCUUCUUCCUGCACUUUUAUCUCAAAAAAGGAAAAUGGAGGUUUUGAAACUGGAGGUGAUCCUUUCCCCCAAAAAACAACCAUCUCCUACUGCAACCCUAAAAUCACUCAAAAAUCCAACCUUUUUAAUACAUCCGAAACCAACAACCGCAACUACACCAAAACAGAACCAAGCACCUCCUUUUUCUUUCACAAACCCUAAACCACAACUACAACCACCACACCUCAAAUCUCCAAAAAUAGACCCCAAAAUACACACAAAAAUCUAACCUUUUUAACAAGAAUCACAACCAACAACAGCAGGGACAAGCACAAACAAUGGUGGCCAACAACAAUAACACGCAGCU